rnacentral:rRNA from 1 species
UCGAGCGGAACGAUGGAAGCUUGCUUCCAGGCGUCGAGCGGCGGACGGGUGAGUAAUGCAUAGGAAUCUGCCCGAUAGUGGGGGAUAACCUGGGGAAACCCAGGCUAAUACCGCAUACGUCCUACGGGAGAAAGCAGGGGAUCUUCGGACCUUGCGCUAUCGGAUGAGCCUAUGUCGGAUUAGCUAGUUGGUGAGGUAAUGGCUCACCAAGGCCGCGAUCCGUAGCUGGUCUGAGAGGAUGAUCAGCCACAUCGGGACUGAGACACGGCCCGAACUCCUACGGGAGGCAGCAGUGGGGAAUAUUGGACAAUGGGCGAAAGCCUGAUCCAGCCAUGCCGCGUGUGUGAAGAAGGCUUUCGGGUUGUAAAGCACUUUCAGUGGGGAAGAAAUCCUCGGGGCCAAUACCCUCGAGGGAGGACAUCACCCACAGAAGAAGCACCGGCUAACUCCGUGCCAGCAGCCGCGGUAAUACGGAGGGUGCGAGCGUUAAUCGGAAUUACUGGGCGUAAAGCGCGCGUAGGCGGCGUGAUAAGCCGGUUGUGAAAGCCCCGGGCUCAACCUGGGAACGGCAUCCGGAACUGUCAGGCUAGAGUGCAGGAGAGGAAGGUAGAAUUCCCGGUGUAGCGGUGAAAUGCGUAGAGAUCGGGAGGAAUACCAGUGGCGAAGGCGGCCUUCUGGACUGACACUGACGCUGAGGUGCGAAAGCGUGGGUAGCAAACAGGAUUAGAUACCCUGGUAGUCCACGCCGUAAACGAUGUCGACUAGCCGUUGGGGUCCUUGUGACCUUUGUGGCGCAGUUAAC